rnacentral:rRNA from 1 species
GACAGAGGUGCCAAGCGUUAGGCGGAAUCACUGGGCUUAAAGCGUGUGUAGGCGGAUCGUUAAGUACCUUGUGAAAUCCCACGGCUUAACCGUGGAACUGCUCGGUAUACUGGCGGUCUUGAGCAACCUAGGGGCGAGCGGAACAAAUGGUGGAGCGGUGAAAUGCGUAGAUAUCAUUUGGAACGCCAAUGGUGAAAACAGCUCGCUGGGGGUUUGCUGACGCUGAGACACGAAAGCCAGGGGAGCAAACGGG